CUUCCGUUGGGGUGACCUGCGGAAGGAUCAUUACUGAUUUGCUUAAUUGCACCACAUGUGUUUUUCUUUGAAACAAACUUGCUUUGGCGGUGGGCCCAGCCUGCCGCCAGAGGUCUAAACUUACAACCAAUUUUUUAUCAACUUGUCACACCAGAUUAUUACUUAAUAGUCAAAACUUUCAACAACGGAUCUCUUGGUUCUCGCAUCGAUGAAGAACGCAGCGAAAUGCGAUACGUAAUAUGAAUUGCAGAUAUUCGUGAAUCAUCGAAUCUUUGAACGCACAUUGCGCCCUCUGGUAUUCCGGAGGGCAUGCCUGUUUGAGCGUCGUUUCUCCCUCAAACCGCUGGGUUUGGUGUUGAGCAAUACGACUUGGGUUUGCUUGAAAGACGGUAGUGGUAAGGCGGGAUCGCUUUGACAAUGGCUUAGGUCUAACCAAAAACAUUGCUUGCGGCGGUAACGUCCACCACGUAUAUCUUCAAACUUUGACCUCAAAUCAGGUAGGACUACCCGCUGAACUUAAGCAUAUCAAAAGGGGGGAGGAA
rnacentral:rRNA from 1 species